UGCUUAAUAGGUUGUGGCUGGAAAAUCCCAGGGAAAGCUGGAGAUUUUUAUGAGAUGAGUGCUGAUUGUGCAGGAGCCUGCAGCUAUUGCUGACCUGCCUCUUUCACAGAAAGAGGAUUAUUACAUAAAAGAGUGCUAGAGAUAUUGUAUGAAAAAUACGUUUUAAUUUCUUUCUCCGCAAGAGAAGGAGAUGGAGAGAAGGAAAAUGGGAACAGCAGAGGAACUGCUUCUGCAACUCAUUUAGGUACCCCCCUCCCUCCAGCCUCCCAUCCCCCUCCUGCCUGGCGCUGAUGUUGCACUUCAAGCAGCUUUUUCACCUGUAUCCAUGACAACCAGGAUGACAUCAGCAUGAGGACUCAAAAUCACAGUGAGGACUCCAAACCAAUUAAACUCUAAUAAAACCUUUUUAAUUGCA